rnacentral:rRNA from 1 species
CCUACGGGAGGCAGCAGUGAGGAAUAUUGGUCAAUGGGCGAGAGCCUGAACCAGCCAAGUCGCGUGAGGGAGUACUGCCCUAUGGGUUGUAAACCUCUUUUGUCGGGGAGCAACAGCCGGACGUGUCCGGCUGUGAGAGUACCCCACGAAAAAGCAUCGGCUCACUCCGUGCCCGCAGCCGCGGUAAUACGGGGGAUGCGAGGGUUAUCCGAAUUUAUGGGGUUUAAGGGGUGCGCAGGCGGAUUUUUAAGUCAGCGGUAAAAUCGUGGGGCUCAACCCCAUCCAGCCGUUGAAACUGGGGAUCUAGAGUGUGCGAGAGGUAUGCGGAAUGCGUGGUGUAGCGGUGAAAUGCAUAGAUAUCACGAAGAACCCCGAUGGCGAAGGCAGCAUACCGGUGCACAACUGACGCUCAGGCACGAAAGCGUGGGUAGCGAACAGGAUUAGAUACCCUAGUAGUC